AGGGUGGACGGCCACAUUGGGACUGAGAUACGGCCCAGACUCCUACGGGAGGCAGCAGUGGGGAAUAUUGCACAAUGGGCGCAAGCCUGAUGCAGCGACGCCGCGUGNGGGAUGACGGCCUUCGGGUUGUAAACUCCUUUCAGCCAUGACGAAGCCCUUGUGGGGUGACGGUAGUGGUAGAAGAAGCACCGGCUAACUACGUGCCAGCAGCCGCGGUAAUACGUAGGGUGCGAGCGUUGUCCGGAAUUACUGGGCGUAAAGAGCUCGUAGGUGGUCUGUCGCGUCAUUUGUGAAAGCCCGGGGCUUAACUCCGGGUUGGCAGGUGAUACGGGCAUGACUGGAGUACUGUAGGGGAGACUGGAAUUCCUGGUGUAGCGGUGAAAUGCGCAGAUAUCAGGAGGAACACCGGUGGCGAAGGCGGGUCUCUGGGCAGUAACUGACGCUGAGGAGCGAAAGCAUGGGUAGCGAACAGGAUUAGAUACCCUGGUAGUCCAUGCCGUAAACGGUGGGCGCUAGGUGUGGGUUUCCUUCCACGGGAUCCGUGCCGUAGCUAACGCAUUAAGCGCCCCGCCUGGGGAGUACGGCCGCAAGGCUAAAACUCAAAGGAAUUGACGGGGGCCCGCACAAGCGGCGGAGCAUGUGGAUUAAUUCGAUGCAACGCGAAGAACCUUACCUGGGCUUGACAUGCACUGGAUGCGGCCAGAGAUGGUUGUUCCCUUUGUGGCUGGUGUGCAGGUGGUGCAUGGUUGUCGUCAGCUCGUGUCGUGAGAUGUUGGGUUAAGUCCCGCAACGAGCGCAACCCUUGUCUCGUGUUGCCAGCAUUUGGUUGGGGACUCGCGGGAGACUGCCGGGGUUAACUCGGAGGAAGGUGGGGAUGACGUCAAAUCAUCAUGCCCCUUAUGUCCAGGGCUUCACACAUGCUACAAUGGCUGGUACAGAGAGUUGCGAUACCGUGAGGUG
rnacentral:rRNA from 1 species